GAUUAAGUUAUUAAGGGCGCACGGUGGAUGCCUUGGCACUAGAAGCCGAAGAAGGACGUUACUAACGACGAUAUGCUUUGGGGAGCUGUAAGUACGCUUUGAUCCAGAGAUUUCCGAAUGGGGAAACCCAGCAUGAGUUAUGUCAUGUUAUCCGCAUAUGAAUACAUAGUAUGCGAGAAGGCACACCCGGAGAACUGAAACAUCUUAGUACCCGGAGGAAGAGAAAGAAAACUCGAUUCCCUGAGUAGCGGCGAGCGAAACGGGAAGAGCCCAAACCAAUAGGCUUGCCUAUUGGGGUUGUAGGACACUCUAUACGGAGUUACAAAGGAAAUGAUUAGACGAAUGGUUUUGGAAAAGCCAACCAUAGAAGGUAAAGGUCCUGUAGUCGAAAGUCAUUUCUCUCCUGAGUGGAUCCUGAGUACGGCGGAACACGUGAAAUUCCGUCGGAAUC
rnacentral:rRNA from 1 species